AUGGUGCACCUUGCAGUACAUUUACCUGAAGAGGCAUUGCUUCGAGGUCCCGUACAAUAUGGGUGGAUGUACCUAGUUGAAAGAAGGCUAUAUACUUUAAAGCGCUAUGUGAGGAAUAGGGCACGACCAGAAGGCUCGAUUGCUGAAGCAUAUGUUGCGGAUGAGUGCCUGACAUUUUGCUCCAAGUACAUGGAUGAUGUUGAAACAAUAUUUAAUCGGAACCCAAGAAAUAUAGGUUUUUCAGAUGAAGAAGCCUACGGUGUUGAUGUUUUUGGACAUGGAUUUAAUUUUACUUCAGGAUAUGGUUAUGAAUAUGUACAUGCGGAAAAAGAAUUUGAUUAG
rnacentral:rRNA from 1 species